rnacentral:lncRNA from 1 species
UGCGAAAGACAUCAAGUGUAAGGUACAGCUGCUUGUGCUCACCAACUACACAUGCAGGUUCUUUCAGGUGCAGAUACCACAGGAACCCUGCGUUGACUCGCACUAGCAUGUCAGUUGGCUCGAAACUCUCUGAGUUGGCUACUGGAAAGCAAUGUUGCUCAGAUUCUCCGAAAAUGUCAUCAGGCACAUGUCGGAUCCUCCAAAAGUAGUGCAUUUUUGGAGGAUCCAACAUAAAUGCGGUAGCAUUUUGGAGAGUUCGCGCAACAUAGCUGGAAAAUGACCUACUCAUAGCAUGUUCAGCACAGGGUAGCUUCACCAAUUAAGGCUCUCUCACAGAUGAAAAGCAUUAAGCAUCUAAUAAUUUGCUUUGUAGCUGUCCUUUCAUAAUAUUUUAUCUUUUUUACUUACUCAUUAAGAACUGUGUUAAUUGAUAACUGAGAUUGUAAAUUGAUGAAGAAUGAUAGGUUGUGUAUCUAUAUCGUGGUUGAUUCUUAGUUAAAUGGUUGCACAUGUUUCUUUUAUACAAUUCAUAAACCCCCACCUUUAAGAUAACCAAAAAAGAAAAAGGAGUGUUUUACCUCUUUUCUUGGUUGCUGCAGUCAAAAGGAAGAAAAUAUGAAGCAACUUUGUUAGUGCAUUGGUGUAACUGGUAAAGUUGUUGCCAUGUGACCAGGAUGUUACGGGUUCGAGCCGUGGAAACAACCUCUUGUAGAAAUGGAGGAUAAGGCUGUACGCGUACAAUAGACUUGUGGUCCGGCCCUUCCCCAGAUUUCGCACAUAGCGAGAGCUUAGUGCAGCGGGCUGCCUUUUUUAACUUUGUUAGUGCAUUAAAAAGAAAGUUAAAAGAGAAGCAAAUCAAGCUUAAACCAAAAACAAAUAUA